AGGUAUGCUUAGGGAGGAGCUUGCGUCACAUUAGUUAGUUGGUGGGGUAAAGGCCUACCAAGACUAUGAUGUGUAGCCGGGCUGAGAGGUUGAACGGCCACAUUGGGACUGAGACACGGCCCAAACUCCUACGGGAGGCAGCAGUAGGGAAUUUUCGGCAAUGGAGGAAACUCUGACCGAGCAACGCCGCGUGAACGAUGAAGUAUUUCGGUACGUAAAGUUCUUUUAUUAGGGAAGAAUAAAUGAUGGAAAAAUCAUUCUGACGGUACCUAAUGAAUAAGCCCCGGCUAACUAUGUGCCAGCAGCCGCGGUAAUACAUAGGGGGCAAGCGUUAUCCGGAAUUAUUGGGCGUAAAGGGUGCGUAGGCUGUUAAAUAAGUUUAUGGUCUAAGUGCAAUGCUCAACAUUGUGAUGCUAUAAAAACUGUUUAGCUAGAGUAAGAUAGAGGCAAGUGGAAUUCCAUGUGUAGUGGUAAAAUGCGUAAAUAUAUGGAGGAACACCAGUAGCGAAGGCGGCUUGCUGGGUCUUUACUGACGCUGAGGCACGAAAGCGUGGGGAGCAAACAGGAUUAGAUACCCUGGUAGUCCACGCCGUAAACGAUGAGUACUAAACGUUGGGUAAAACCAGUGUUGAAGUUAACACAUUAAGUACUCCGCCUGAGUAGUACGUACGCAAGUAUGAAACUUAAAGGAAUUGACGGGACUCCGCACAAGCGGUGGAUCAUGUUGUUUAAUUCGAAGGUACCCGAAAAACCUCACCAGGUCUUGACAUGCUUCUGCAAAGCUGUAGAAACACAGUGGAGGUUAUCAGUUGCACAGGUGGUGCAUGGUUGUCGUCAGCUCGUGUCGUGAGAUGUUGGGUUAAGUCCCGCAACGAGCGCAACCCUUAUUGUUAGUUGCCAACACGUAAUGGNGGGGACUUUAGC
rnacentral:rRNA from 1 species